rnacentral:rRNA from 2 species
UACGGAGGAUCCGAGCGUUAUCCGGAUUUAUUGGGUUUAAAGGGUGCGUAGGCGGCCUUGUAAGUCAGGGGUGAAAGACGGUAGCUUAACUAUCGCAGUGCCUUUGAUACUGCAGGGCUUGAAUGUACUUGAGGUAGGCGGAAUGUGACAAGUAGCGGUGAAAUGCAUAGAUAUGUCACAGAACACCAAUUGCGAAGGCAGCUUACUAAGGUAUGAUUGACGCUGAGGCACGAAAGCGUGGGGAUCAAACAGG